rnacentral:rRNA from 1 species
GAUGAACGCUGGCGGCGUGCCUAAUACAUGCAAGUCGAGCGAACGGACGAGAAGCUUGCUUCUCUGAUGUUAGCGGCGGACGGGUGAGUAACACGUGGAUAACCUACCUAUAAGACUGGGAUAACUUCGGGAAACCGGAGCUAAUACCGGAUAAUAUUUUGAACCGCAUGGUUCAAAAGUGAAAGACGGUCUUGCUGUCACUUAUAGAUGGAUCCGCGCUGCAUUAGCUAGUUGGUAAGGUAACGGCUUACCAAGGCAACGAUGCAUAGCCGACCUGAGAGGGUGAUCGGCCACACUGGAACUGAGACACGGUCCAGACUCCUACGGGAGGCAGCAGUAGGGAAUCUUCCGCAAUGGGCGAAAGCCUGACGGAGCAACGCCGCGUGAGUGAUGAAGGUCUUCGGAUCGUAAAACUCUGUUAUUUAGGAAGAACAUAUGUGUUAGUAACUGUGCACAUCUUGACGGUACCCUAUCAGAAAGCACGGCUUACUACGUGCCAGCAGCCGCGGGUAUACGUANGUGGCAAGCGUUAUCCGGGAAUUAUUGGGCGUAAAGCGCGCGUAGGUGGUUUGUCGCGUCGUUUGUGUAAGCCCGCAGCUUCACUGCGGGACUGCAGGCGAUACGGGCAUAACUUGAGUGCUGUAUUGGAGACUGGAAUUCCUGGUGUAGCGGUGGAAUGCGCAGAUAUCAGGAGGAACACCGAUGGCGAAGGCAGGUCUCUGGGCAGUAACUGACGCUGAGGAGCGAAAGCAUGGGUAGCGAACAGGAUUAGAUACCCUGGUAGUCCAUGCCGUAAACGGUGGGCGCUAGGUGUGAGUCCCUUCCACGGGGUUCGUGCCGUAGCUAACGCAUUAAGCGCCCCGCCUGGGGAGUACGGCCGCAAGGCUAAAACUCAAAGGAAUUGACGGGGGCCCGCACAAGCGGCGGAGCAUGUGGAUUAAUUCGAUGCAACGCGAAGAACCUUACCUGGGCUUGACAUACACCAGACCGGGCCAGAGAUGGUCUUUCCCUUUGUGGUUGGUGUACAGGUGGUGCAUGGUUGUCGUCAGCUCGUGUCGUGAGAUGUUGGGUUAAGUCCCGCAACGAGCGCAACCCUUAAGCUUAGUUGCCAUCAUUAAGUUGGGCACUCUAAGUUGACUGCCGGUGACAAACCGGAGGAAGGUGGGGAUGACGUCAAAUCAUCAUGCCCCUUAUGAUUUGGGCUACACACGUGCUACAAUGGACAAUACAAAGGGCAGCGAAACCGCGAGGUCAAGCAAAUCCCAUAAAGUUGUUCUCAGUUCGGAUUGUAGUCUGCAACUCGACUACAUGAAGCUGGAAUCGCUAGUAAUCGUAGAUCAGCAUGCUACGGUGAAUACGUUCCCGGGUCU